rnacentral:rRNA from 1 species
AACAUCGCCUCCUGCAAAAAUCAAUGUAUAGGAGGUCCUGCCUGCCCAGUGACAACUUGUUAAACGGCCGCGGUAUUUUGACCGUGCUAAGGUAGCGCAAUCACUUGUCUUUUAAAUGAAGACCUGUAUGAAUGGUGGAACGAGGGCUUAACUGUCUCCCUUCUCCUGUCAAUGAAAUUGAUCUACCCGUGCAGAAGCGGGUAUACCCAUACAAGACGAGAAGACCCUUUGGAGCUUAUUGGGGCGACCGCGGGGGAUAAUUAAGCCCCCAUGUAAAGCCGAGAAAGACAUCUCUAAGCCACAGAAUAUCUGACCAAAAGACCCGGCCCAUAAGCCGAUCAACGAACCAAGUUACCCUAGGGAUAACAGCGCAAUCCCCUCCAAGAGUUCAUAUCGACGAGAGGGUUUACGACCUCGAUGUUGGAUCAGGACAUCCUAAUGGUGCAGCCGCUAUUAAGGGUUCGUUUGUUCAACGAUUAAAGUCCUACGUGAUCU